AUACCUUUCUCGGCCUUUUGGCUAAGAUCAAGUAUAGUAUCUAUUCUUACUAGUUUAAUAUUUGAUAUGUGAGCUAUCGACUCACACGAUAUUAAUUUAAUUUUUUUAAGAGGAAGAUCCAUCACGAUAGCUUGCUAUCAGGGUGUCACAACCCUGAUUUGCCCUCCGUGAACCAUC
rnacentral:snRNA from 1 species